rnacentral:tRNA from 1 species
AGAGAAUUAGCCGAGUAGUUUAAGGCGGUAAGUUUAAGUUUUAUUUAAUUUUUAAAUGUUAUAUCUAUUCGAAUCGGAUAUUCUCUA